AGGAAUGGCAUUUGAAGAAAUAAAUUAAAUAGAAGGGCACAGUGUCAAAAAUUCUCUCCUAACCUUAACCUAUAAUCUUACGAAUCUAUGAUCACUAUGCAUCUAUGAAAUUUCUUACAAAAAUUGUAGAAUUUCUUGAAAUUUUGACAAGAACCAACAUGGGAGUUAGACUCGUUAUUCCACAGCAAAGGGACCUUCAACAGCUUCCUGUACAUUAAUCCUCCAUUAAACGGAAGGAAUAUUCAUCGUGAUGCCCAUAUGUGUAUAGUACAGUCCGAACAAGUAUGACUGAAUAAUAAAGAAAAAGAAUUGGGAUAAAAAUGAAAUACAGUCUUACGAAUUUAUGAUCACUAUACAUCUAUGAAAUUUCAUCCAAAAAUUGUAGAAUUUCUUGAAAUUUUGACAAGAACCAACAUGGGAGUUAGACUCGUUAUUCCACAGCAAAGGGACCUUCAACAGCUUCCUGUACAUUAAUCCUCCAUUAAACGGAAGGAAUAUUCAUCGCGAUGCCCAUACGUGUAUAGUACAGUCCGAACAAAUAUGACGGAAUAAUGGAAAUGUUUGUUUUAAUUAGUACGCCGCAGAGAAUACGUCCUGUUUUUAGGUAUGAGAUAUUAAUGAGCGUAUUCGACGAGCGAAAUUGUCGGUGGAGAACUUUUGGCACGAGUUACGGUUUAACGACGCAACUACGUCGAUGUUAACUGCCCUACGCCUCCAUUUCGCUACUUUAUUGCGAUUCUUAUUUAUCUGUCCGUGUUAUUUGUGCCCGGCCUGGCAAUGCCACCCCUGCCGGGAAUCGUGGACGAAAUAGCGCGGGGAAUAAACGCCACUCGAAUGGUUCAGUAUGCAACGACGGGACGGGUAGCUGGAGAUGAAUACGAUCGCGUGUAAAACGUGUCUUCGACGAGAGAGGAGAGAGAGAGAGAAAGAUGGGUGGGAAAAAUGAGUCCGAUCCUGGAAAAUAAUUCAACAACGCGAGAUAUAAAGCGGCGGGAAAAUACGACAAAUGACAGGGAGAGGAAGCGAGCGGCGUAGGCAUGCAAUUCCGUGGAAACACGGACACGAAAUUCCGUGAAACAGGCUGGAAUAGAAACUUAUUAUUCCUUUGGAUCGAGCCCGCACGAAAUUCAUAUGGCACGCCGCGAAAGUGCCGAGAAAUAUUAAGGAGCUCCGAGGAAUAAGCAGCCGGAUUCUAGGUAUACGCACGUACGUGUGAAAGAAUAUGUGCUGAGGAAAGGUUUUAUCCGGCACGGGGAAAUCGAUCAUCCGCCUCAUGGACGUAAUACUAUUGAAAAAUUGCGAUGGAAUCUUUUGUGUGCACGGUAAGAGCGCGGAACAAUCGUAAAUACGAGAGGAAUAAUAAAAACCAGAAGAAAAUUCCGUCUCAUAUCGAUGAGCCUAGUACGAAUAUAG